AUCAGCUGACGAGUCCCAAAUAGGACGAAACGCGCGUCCUGGAU
rfam:Schistosoma haematobium scaffold347_7, whole genome shotgun sequence.